AGCAAGGACUAACCCCUGUACCUUCUGCAUAAUGAAUUAACUAGAAAUAACUUUGCAAAGAGAACCAAAGCUAAGACCCCCGAAACCAGACGAGCUACCUAAGAACAGCUAAAAGAGCAUACCCGUCUAUGUAGCAAAAUAGUGGGAAGAUUCAUAGGUAGAGGCGACAAACCUACCGAGUCUGGUGAUAGCUGGUUGUCCAAGAUAGAAUCUUAGUUCAACUUUAAAUUUACCCACAGAACCCUCCAAAUCCCCCUGUAAAUUUAACUGUUAGUCCAAAGAGGAACAGCUCUUUGGACACUAGGAAAAAACCUUGUAAAGAGAGUAAAAAAUUUAAUACCCAUAGUAGGCCUAAAAGCAGCCACCAAUUAAGAAAGCGUUCAAGCUCAACACCUAUCAUCCGAAAAAUCCCAAACAUAUGACUGAACUCCUUGCACCCAAUUGGACCAAUCUAUUACCUUAUAGAAGAACUAACGUUGGUAUAAGUAACAUGAAAGCAUUCUCCUCCACAUAAGCCUACAUCAGACCAAAAUAUUAAACUGACAAUUAACAGCCUAAUAUCUACAACCAACCAACAAGCCAUUAUUACCCCCACUGUUAACCCAACACAGGCAUGCCCACAAGGAAAGGUUAAAAAAAGUAAAAGGAACUCGGCAAACCUUACCCCACCUGUUUACCAAAAACAUCACCUCUAGCAUUAUCAGUAUUAGAGGCACCCCUGCCCGGUGACAUAUGUUUAACGGCCGCGGUACCCUAACCGUGCAAAGGUAGCAUAAUCACUUGUUCCUUAAAUAGGGACUUGUAUGAAUGGCUCCACGAGGGUUCAGCUGUCUCUUACUUUCAACCAGUGAAAUUG
rnacentral:ncRNA from 2 species